AUGAUGACAAGGGGAGAGACUGCAGUCUGCAGCGCCGAAGGAGCAAGCAUCAAGAUGUGAAUCUCUCAGGCAAAAAGACUCUUGUCGGACG
rfam:Bacillus marisflavi strain JCM 11544 scaffold1, whole genome shotgun sequence.